UCCCCUUUAUCAGCAGAUUCCUCAGCUAACAACAAACCCCACACCGGAGCACGGUCACCGUGACCCGUGUCACACUCAGAGUCGUCAUGCACUCCCGCUGGAACUACAGCUUUUGUUUCACAAUAAUCAGGUGUUCUGCUCUGUUUCACAUGUUCUGUCAUGGAGGGGGCGGAACAUCUUGACAAGAGACAGCUGGAUCCGGUGUUCAGUGACAGCUGAAUGAUGGCAGACGAUUCAUCUCAUCAAACAUGUAAGAUUGAGUGCCCUGUUGCUCUGAGCUGUCACAACAUCACCGACAUUGAUGGAGCGUGUUACAGAACAGUUAUUGACAUUUUGCAAAUCAGCAAUAUUCCAUGUUUGAGAUUGGAUUAGCGGUCUGAGACCGUUAUGCAAUAAAUUCUGUAUUGUGAA